rnacentral:rRNA from 1 species
GAUGAACGCUGGCGGCGUGCCUAAUACAUGCAAGUCGAGCGAACAGACGAGGAGCUUGCUCCUCUGACGUUAGCGGCGGACGGGUGAGUAACACGUGGAUAACCUACCUAUAAGACUGGGAUAACUUCGGGAAACCGGAGCUAAUACCGGAUAAUAUAUUGAACCGCAUGGUUCAAUAGUGAAAGACGGUUUUGCUGUCACUUAUAGAUGGAUCCGCGCCGCAUUAGCUAGUUGGUAAGGUAACGGCUUACCAAGGCAACGAUGCGUAGCCGACCUGAGAGGGUGAUCGGCCACACUGGAACUGAGACACGCUCCAGACUCCUACAGGAGGCAGCAGUAGGGAAUCUUCCGCAAUGGGCGAAAGCCUGACGGAGCAACGCCGCGUGAGUGAUGAAGGUCUUCGGAUCGUAAAACUCUGUUAUUAGGAAAGAACAAAUGUGUAAGUAACUAUGCACGUCUUGACGGUACCUAAUCAGAAAGCCACGGCUAACUACGUG